AAUUAAAAAAAAAAAAAAAAAAAAGAGAGAGAAAUGCUAGGAACCACAUGAGUUGCAGGAUAAGCCAAAAGCAAAUAAUAUCUGUGUACUGUUUUCCUUCAUUUUUCACACACACCUUGGGCAGCAGCUCCUGCUGAAGCAAUUGUAGCAGCUUCUGCACCUCUAGUUGUCGUCUUCUUCUUCUUCUCAUUUACCUCCGAUGUCUACUCCUACCAAAAAUCGUCGCCCACGGGCCACGGGUAGAGAUCCUGAAAUCAAUCCACUGCAUAAUGAAGUCUCACUCUCUACAUUUCCAUGGACUUUCAAUUCUCUUCCUCUUACCUAUCAUUUUCACUCUCAUCAUAUAUCCUUCUUUCCACCUCGCUCUCUUUCAUCCCGACUAUAAUUUCCACCAACUUGACUCCCAUUACCUUCCCCGUUCCAGUUUCGAAAUUGUCAUACCCAUACUAUACACUCUCUGUCUGUCCCUCUUUUACCUCUGUGCCGUAGCCACAAUUACACACAGCGCUGCUCAAGCAUUGUGCGAUAAACCGAUCAGCCUUCUUUGCUCUGUUAAAUCUAUUAGAAAUUCCUUCUUUCCUCUUCUCUCCACUUUUAUCCUUACUAAUACCAUUCUCAUUUCAAUUGCUCUGAUUUUCGUCCUAGUCGUUGUUUUUCUAGUCCAAACUCUUCGAUCUAUCGGAUUAAUUGAACUCAAAUACGACCUGAAUCACUUUUUAUAUCUGUGUUUUUUCUCGUUGAUAGUGCUUGUACCGAUUCUGGUUUGGCUACAGGUGAAUUGGUUAUUAGCUUAUGUGAUAGCAGUGCUUGAAUCUAAGUCAGGUUUCGAAGCACUGAGGAGAAGUGCGGAUUUGUUAAAGGGGAAGAGAUGGAUAGCUUCGUACGCGAUGCUGUAUGGCAUGCCUUUGAUGGGACUGUUGGUGGUUACUCAUUCCAUUGUUUCAGUCAUGGCGGGUGUUGCCCAUGGUAGCUUGGUGGCUAUAGUGGUGGCUGUGGCAGGAUCUUUUAUGAUGAAUCACUAUAUUUUAGAGAAUGUGGCUUUGUACAUGUAUUGUAAAGACGAAUUCUUCAAUGGUGAAAAAUCGCCAUUGGAGAUCGGAGACAAGUUCACCGGAGCUAGUGAGUUAUGUAUCUAUGCCAAUGGCUGAUGAGAAAAAUCAUGCUAUUGUGUAAACUGGUCAUUAGCUUAUGUGAUAGCAGUGGUUGAAUCAAAAUCAGGUUUCGAAACACUGAGGAGAUCAAGUGCUUAUUUGGUAAAAGAGAAGAGAUCAGUAGCUUUUCGGAUACAUUUGAAUUUCGGGCUUAUGGUGAUUGGUUCUAACGUCUUUUUAGCCAGUACUAUGCUGUAUGGUCUAGUCAAGUCUGGUUGGUGGAGCAUUCUGAUGGUAAUGGCUACUAUGAUGUGGUGGAUACUGGCAUCUUCUGGGAUUAGAGAGUUACUUAUGAAGAAUGUGCUUCUGUAUAUGUACUGCAACGACUUUAAUGGCGGAAAAUUGACCUUGGAGGAAAUCGGAGGCAAGUUUGCAGACGAGUUUGUAUAUUUGCCCUUAGACGAUGAGAAGAAUCAUGCCAUUGUGUAAUUUGUUUAAUUUCUCUAGGGGCUC